UACGAACUGUGCGAUCGUUAUUCGGAAUCACUGGGCUUACAGGGUGCGUAGGCGGCUUGUUAAGUAGGGUGUGAAAGCCCCCGGCUCAACCGGGGAAUGGCGCCCUAAACUGGCGAGCUAGAGUGAGAUAGGGGUGUGUGGAACUUCCGGUGGAGCGGUGAAAUGUGUUGAUAUCGGAAGGAACGCCGGUGGCGAAAGCGACACACUGGAUCUUGUCUGACGCUGAGGAACGAAAGCCAGGGGAGCGAACGGG
rnacentral:rRNA from 1 species